GCCAGUGCCCCUCGGCAAUCUCCGCGCCGGCCGCCCGAGGGAAGCCGGGAAGAGAUCGCGGGAGCUCGGGAAUCUACGCUGUGGAGCCCUGAGCAGAAGACAGGAGGAACACAAGAGGAAGGGAAGCCAGGCCUCCAAGUUAUCACCAGGAGAGGAGCUGCGUAAGACCCUGCUUCACAAACUUCAGACAGUGAUAUGAGCCAGAAACAAACGUUGUUUUGUUAAAACCACUGAGAUUUGAAGAAGGGGCCAAGAAGGAGCUGAGCUGAGCCAUAUCCAAUUUCUUCUUCCCAAUCAUUACUCAAAUAAAUUACUCCUAUCAGACAGCUUUGGCUAAAGAAUGUCAAAGGAGGAACAAAGGACUCCAAUGGUUUCCCGUUCCCACAUCCAUUGUGGGUCAGCUGUGCAUCAUGUUCAUUCUGGGACCACACAGUGGCAGGGACACAUGAGGCUUCUAUUUCCACCCCAUUGGCCAAAGCAAGUGGCCCAGCCAAACUUGUCUUCCACGGAGUGAGGAUGUUUCAACCUCCCGCAAGGAGAGGCAAUGUAUUUGUGGAAUGAGGGUGAGGAAUAAAGACAUGGGAUUCAUAUUUCCUGACAUGACACGUACCCGAAGACCAACGGAGAAGCAACAGAUGCUGUUACUACCACCUGCAUAUCCUCUGGGCCCACUGUGGAAGCCCCCUUGGAAACUAAAGAAGUUUCCCCAUACCGUAGACAUGUCACCUGUUUCCUAACUCCAAACUCGAACCCAGCCAGACAGCACAUAUAUGAAUAACAUUCAUCAUUUAAAAAUAAGGCAUUUUUGCCAUUUCUAACAAUAUGGAUGAACCUGGAGGUCAUUAUGUUAAGUGAAAUGAGCCAGGCAGAGAAAGACAAAUAUUGCCCAAUCUCAUGAAUGUGUGGAAUCCAUAUACAUCUCACUUAUUGAAGCAGAGUAGAGGGGUGGUUGCCAAGUGCUAAAAGGGGGUGAAGGGUGUGGGACAUCAUUGAUCAAAGAGUACAAAGUUUCACCUAGACAGGAAGAAUAAGUUCUGGAGACCCACUGCACAGCAUGGUCACUGUCAUUGGUAAUACUAUGUCAUAUACUUCAAAAUUACUAAAGACUGGAUUUUUAAAUGUUCUUACACACACACACACAAUGCUACAUAGGUGAGAUGAAUAUGUUAGCAAUAUGUUAAAUCAUUUCACAAUUUAUAUAUUUAUCAAAACAUUAUCUUGUACAUCAUGAAUUUAUACAAUUUGUAUUGACCCUUUAAAUUUUUUUCUUUUCUUUUCUCUUCUUUUUUCUUUUUAGACAGGCUCUCGCUCUGUAAUUCAGGCUGACCUUAAACACAUUCACUGCGUAGUCCAGAUUGAUCUCCAACUCCUGGAGAUCCUCCCAGUUGGACCUCUCAAAUGCUGGGAUUGCAUAAACAAUUUUUUAAAACCUAUUUUCUAAUCUCCUGGGAAAUUCUUCUUCCUACUCAGCUUUAUAGCACAAAACAGAAUGU